GUGCUCAUUGGAUGUUGUCGGUGGUGAACCCGGAUGAAGAAGUCGUGCAUUUGAUGGAUCCGCUAAAAAAGCGACUUUGUGCUGGUGAAUGGAAAAGUAUUGUCGACAACUCCAUUAUAGGGCAGGAGAGCCUGAAAUGGCUAUGAACUAUUCAUCGAAUCAAUGAUUUACCAGAGUCACAACACCCACAGCGUAGGACAUGCUUUCUGAGCCUUGGGCUUCCUCUUGGGUUUGGAAAGUGUGAAUCUUGUGGUACUUCCGAACUUGGAAAGUGCGAAGGACAUUUUGGACAUAUAUUGGCUUACCAUUACCAAUAUAUCAUCCUAACCAUGUUAGUGAGCUGAAGCGGUUGUUGAGUUUUUUGUGCCUGAAAUGAGAUACUUUUGGGGUUGGCCUGGAAUUUCGUUUUGCCUAAGAAUCGCUUUGGCUCCUUGUGCACUCGACACCUAUUAGUACUUUUUGAACCGUAACUCUGAUUUCUGACCAUCAAUUUUAUUUCUUUGUAAAGUUCUAUAACGGAAUUGACUACCUAGAGACCAAAAUUAGUUGAACAGCUCUAAUUUCUUUGUCAAAAUUGAGCAAAGAUAGAGAAUUGAGAUGGUGUUAUUUUAUAUAUGAUAAAGAC